CAUGGCAUAUGGAAGUUCCAGGCUAGGGACUGAAUCAAAGCUGUAGCUGAUGGCCCACACCACAGCUACAUCUGUGACCUACACCACAGCUCAUGGCAACACCAGAUGCUUAACAUACUGAGUGAGGUCAGAGAUCAAACUCAUGUCCUCAUGGAUACUAGUUGUGUUCUUUACUGCUGAACCACAAUGGGGACUCCCUUAGUGCUUUCCCAAUAAAUUUUCUGGGCUUCUGUUUCCUAGGGAACCUGACCUAAUACAAUCACUCUUUGCAAUGAAAUCGAGGAAAGAAUGUCUGGAAUCCAAGGAGUUCUCUGUUGUAUUUUUGGUGCUUCCUUGCUGGUAAUAAUAAUGAACAGGGUAUCAAAGUAGUGCCAGCCUGGACUGAGGGUGCCAUGGCAUAACUCCUAUACUGCCGCUAGCUCAGGCACCAGAAG
rnacentral:lncRNA from 1 species